CAGUUAUCGUUUAUUUGAUAUCUACCUUUACAUGGAUAACCGUGGUAAUUCUAGGGCUAAUACAUGCUUAAAACCCCGACUUUCGAAGGGGUGUAUUUAUUAGAUUAAAGCCAAUGCCCUUCGGGGCUUUCUGGUGAUUCAUAAUAACUUAACGAAUCGCAUAGCCUUGUGCUGGCGAUGGUUCAUUCAAAUUUCUGCCCUAUCAACUCGUCGGUAGGAUAGUGGCCUACCGUGGUUUCAACGGGUAACGGGGAAUUAGGGUUCGAUUCCGGAGAGCCCGCCUGAGAAACGGCGAGCACGUCCAAGGAAGGCAGCAGGCGCGCAAAUUACCCAAUGGGGAAACCCCGAGGUAGUGACAAAAAAUAUCGAUCGAGGGCUCUUAUGGGUUUUCGAAUCGGAAUGAGUACAGUUUAAAUCCCUUAACGAGGAACAAUUGGAGGGCAAGUCUGGUGCCAGCAGCCGCGGUAAUUCCAGCUCCAAUAGCGUAUAUUAAAGUUGUUGCAGUUAAAAAGCUCGUAGUUGAACCUCGGGUUCGACCGUUCGGUCCGCUUCACGGCGUGUUACCUCUCGGCCGGACCUCUCCUUCUGGCUAACCGCAUGUUUUUUACUAAGCGUGUUGGGGAUCCAGGACUUUUACUUUGAAAAAAUUAGAGUGUUCAAAGCAGGUCAUUGCUCGAAUACAUUAGCAUGGAAUAAUAGAAUAGGACGGUGGUCUUAUUUGUUGGCUUACAGACCAUCGUAAU
rnacentral:rRNA from 1 species